GUCCGCUUGUAAUCUAAAGCCGGUCUGACCUGCCCACUGAUUUUUUUUUAAAAGGCCGCGGUAUUUUGACCGUGCAAAGGUAGCAUAAUAAUUAGUCUUUUAAUUGAAGACUGGAAUGAAAGGUUAAACAAAAAGUAACCUGUCUUAAAAUUUCCUAUUAAACUUAACUUCUAAGUGAAAAGGCUUAGAUUCUCUUAAAAGACGACAAGACCCUAUAAAACUUUUAUAUUAUUUAAUUUAACCUUUUAUUUAUAAAUAAAAACAUAGGUUAUAUUUCUUAUAUAUUUCGUUGGGGCGACGAAAGUACAACUUAACUUAACUGCUUUUUAAUUAUUUUACAUUUAUAUUUGGAACUAAACAUGACCCUUAAAUAAAGAUUAAAAGAAAAAGUUACUUUAGGGAUAACAGCGUAAUUUUUUUCAAGAGUCCUUAUCGACAAAAAAGUUUGCGACCUCGAUGUUGAAUUUGAGUCCACCUAUAAUGCAGCAAUUAUAGAAAUUAGGUCUGUUCGACCUUUAAAACUCCACAUGAUUUGAGUUCAAACCGGCGCAAG
rnacentral:rRNA from 1 species